ACUCAUCUCAUCCCCUUCUAAAUCAAAGUUCACAAUACGGACAAACCAAAACCCUAGCCUCCUCCUCAACGAUUCUACUACCGCCGUGCGUGGUUGUCGGCGCCUCCGUGGGUUCCUCCUUCCCCCUUUCCCGAGCCAAAACCCAGGACCUCUAUUCUAGCGCGGCACGUCAUCCCCAUCCCUGGCUUCUCUGUUCAAGCCUUGGAGCAGCUCGCCGUCGUCUCGUCGCCGUUUCGUUUACAACCCAGAAAAAAUAAACAAAGCUUCGGUAGCGCUGAGAGCCCCUUGCCCCCUUCUCUCCUUCUCCUUGCCCCCAUCCCUGGCUCUGUUUGUUUAAUUUUGCUUCGCAUCCGCUCCUUCCUUUUAAUUUUGCCAUGGUUAGUGGUUACUGAUGAGUGAUGAGUGAUGGCUCUGUUUAAUUUUGUUUCUGGUUACUGAUGGGUUUGUUUAAUUUUGCUUCGCAUUCGCUUCUUCCUUUUAAUUUGCUCUGUUUACUGAUAAGUGAUGGCUCUGUUUAAUUUCUGAAUGCUUUGUUCUUCUUGUUCUUUUUAAUUUCUGGAAUUUUUGUUCAAAUUUGUGUGUAAU
rnacentral:lncRNA from 1 species